rnacentral:rRNA from 1 species
AUUGAACGCUGGCGGCAGGCCUAACACAUGCAAGUCGAACGAGUGGCGGACGGGUGAGUAAUGUCUGGGAAACUGCCCGAUGGAGGGGGAUAGCUACUGGAAACGGUAGCUAAUACCGCAUACCAUCGGAUGUGCCCAGAGGGGAUUAGCUAGGAGGUGGGGUAACGGCUCACCUAGGCGACGAUCGCUAGCUGGUCUGAGAGGAUGACCAGCGACACUGGAACUGAGACACGGUCCAGACUACUACGGGAGGCAGCAGAGGGGAAUAGUGCACAAUGGGCGCAAGCCUGACGCAGCCAUGCGGAGUGUAUGAAGAAGGCCUUGGGGUGGUAAAGUACUUUCAGCGAGGAGGCGGUACUCGCAGAAGAAGCACCGGCUAACUCCGUGCCAGCAGCCGCGGUAAUUC